rnacentral:rRNA from 1 species
ACUGGUGAUUAUAUCGAAAGGGCCACACCUGUUCCCAUCUCGAACACAGAAGUUAAGCCUUUCAGAGCCGAUGAUACUCGGUGGGAGACUGCCCGGGAAAAUAGGUCGUCGCCGGUU